AAUAUGGUCUCGUUGGUGACCAGCGGAGGGACAUUACCGAGUUUACAACUCCCAAACCCAAUGUGAACGUUACCAAACUGUUGCCUCGGCGGGAUCUCUGCCCCGGGUGCGUCGCAGCCCCGGACCAAGGCGCCCGCCGGAGGACCAACCAAAACUCUUAUUGUAUACCCCCUCGCGGGUUUUUUACUAUCUGAGCCAUCUCGGCGCCCCUCGUGGGCGUUUCGAAAAUGAAUCAAAACUUUCAACAACGGAUCUCUUGGUUCUGGCAUCGAUGAAGAACGCAGCGAAAUGCGAUAAGUAAUGUGAAUUGCAGAAUUCAGUGAAUCAUCGAAUCUUUGAACGCACAUUGCGCCCGCCAGUAUUCUGGCGGGCAUGCCUGUCCGAGCGUCAUUUCAACCCUCGAACCCCUCCGGGGGGUCGGCGUUGGGGAUCGGCCCUUUACGGGGCCGGCCCCGAAAUACAGUGGCGGUCUCGCCGCAGCCUCUCCUGCGCAGUAGUUUGCACACUCGCAUCGGGAGCGCGGCGCGUCCACAGCCGUUAAACACCCCAAACUUCUGAAAUGUUGACCUCGGAUCAGGUAGGAAUACCCGCUGAACUUAAGCAUACA
rnacentral:rRNA from 1 species